AAAAAAUACAGCAGGACCUGCAGCUCAUAUAUUCAAACCAUGCUUGUGAAAAUACCAGGACGGUAAAUUAGUGAAUUCCAAAGUCAGGAUUUUUGUUGGAUCUGGCACAGUCACAGGAAAGUCUGAGUUUUCUCAAGGGCAUCCCUGUCUCACCGAGGGGCACCAAGGACAGACGACCAGAAGCAAAUGGCGCAGUCACCGUCAGAGGAGAGUAAAACUCAUUCUGAAACGGUUCCAAAUGCCCAUGCCUGCUCUGUGGUUUUCAGCAAAGCGGACCUUUCCAAAAGACCUCCAACGGGGACUUCCUGGAUGUGAGAACACUAACCAAUUCUCGUUCCUCUCAUCUUUUGCUUUAUUCCUUCCUUCCACGCUGUUAUUGCGAAAAACUGGCAGUUAAAUUCAAUUGAUUCAAAAUAUUCGGGAUCCAUAUGGCCG
rnacentral:lncRNA from 1 species